rnacentral:tRNA from 1 species
GAGAGCAUGGUGUAGUGGUAGCCCAUCACCCUGUCACGGUGGAGGCGCGAGUUCGAUUCUCGCUGUUCUCG